rnacentral:rRNA from 1 species
CCUACGGGUGGCAGCAGUAGGGAAUCUUUCACAAUGGGCGAAAGCCUGAUGGAGCAACGCCGCGUGCAGGAUGAAGGCCUUCGGGUUGUAAACUGCUUUUAUAAGCGAGAAAUAUGAUGGUAACUUAUGAAUAAGGAUCGGCUAACUACGUGCCAGCAGCCGCGGUCAUACGUAGGAUCCGAGCAUUAUCCGGAGUGACUGGGUGUAAAGAGUUGCGUAGGUGGCAUAAUAAGUAGCUAGUUAAAUCGGGUGGCUCAACCAUUCAGACUAUUAGCUAAACUGUUAAGCUCGAGACCGUUAGGGGUAACUGGAAUUUCUAGUGUAGGAGUGAAAUCCGUAGAUAUUAGAAAGAACACCAAUAGCGUAGGCAGGUUACUGGGACGGUUCUGACACUAAGGCACGAAAGCGUAGGGAGCAAACGGGAUUAGAUACCCCGGUAGUC